ACACAGUUUUCUAAAAUAUUACAAAGCAUCCCAAUGAUUUGAUGUUAUGAAUUGCUAUGAACUUAAAUGCUUAAUACAAUCAACAGAAAAGAUAGCAGCAUGCUUCUCCAUUUUGAGCCAGUCCACCUAUUAAGGACUUCUUGAUUAAAACCUGCAAUCAUUCUAUAUAGCCUGCAAAAUAGGAGGUAAAUAUAAGAAAAUAAUGUACAGAUAAUAAUUUUAGAAAUAUUAAGGGAAAACAUUUUAGGGUAUGAAAGAAAAUCAUCCGCACAAACCACAAGGUCUUUAGCUUGAUAACAACAAAGUUCAAACAAUCAGACGUAACACAUGAGGCAGAAGUCUUUCAUGAUAAAUUGGUAGUGGCUCGCCUCUGCUCGAUGUCAUCCUCCGUCUUUGUUGUGUUGCUCCUUUUGAGUGUUGCUUCUACCGCUGUCCACUUGGUGAGCGCACUACUGACCCAUCCUCACAAAUAGAGCAAAGUUUCAGAGCCCAAAGUUUGAUGAUGUUGAUUGGAUGCGCUUGGCAUUCAUGAACCUAUGCUAAUGAACAAAAUCUGACAUUUGUAAAUUUUAUCAAAAUAUGGAGGAUGCAACUACAGAGAUAAAAUUAUAAAUUAUUUCAAUUAACUAAUAAUUUAAAGCAAGCAUGUUCAUAAUAUAGCAAGGCGGGUCAUCCAAUGUUAAUUGUGCCAAGAACUUAAUUUUUUUUCAAUCAGACAUUGAUUUUCCUUAGAUGAAAUUGUCUCUGGUGUGUAUGAAGCAUGAAUAAAUCAAUUUAAAAUGGAACAAAUACACAAUCAAGGAUUCCAGUCAAAAAUAUUCCACAUCAGCUAAACAUAAUCACAUCCGCAACUAAUCAGAAGUAGUUAUAAAAGUGCAGCAACUACACAAACAUCUCAGUUCACAAAUUGUAACCCUAUUCACUGCUCCUGGUUGUGUGAAAUUUCUUCAGAAAAGAGAAAAACAGAGACAUGAGAGAGUGGUAGUGAUGACGUGCACCGUCUGCCCUCACCUCGCAGCCUUGCACAUCUAAGCCAAAAAUUCAGAAGCGCACUGUUAAUUCAUUCCAUUCCAUUUUUGAAAUUUCCAUGACAACCUUGAACAUAAAUAGUGAUUUGACUUCCCAAGUACAAAGUCGAACUUAGUGAAUAAAAACAAAUAUAUGAGAAAGCAAGAAACAUUGCUUACCUCAACCAAUGACGACAGGUCUGUUGCAUGGAACAUGCCAAACGUGAGUGUGUGAAUGCUUCCCCGCAGCGACAUGGCAUCACAUGUAAUAUUGUUUAAGUUGCCAUAUUCUUCCUCCACAAAAUAAAUUAUGCACACCUUAGAUUAUGCACCUAAGAAUGACAUGAUGAAUCAUGGGUAAACUAUAACCAGCCUAUAGUCAACUUUUUCUUAUGACAUUUGUAGUACAAAUAAAUACUCUAUUCACCUUUAGGUAUGUUGCAUUUGCUGCUUCACAAGGAAGAGUGGGAGGCUCAUGAGCUGAGGCCUUGAGGGAACGUCCGAGUAGCUGAGUAGAAGAGCGCUCGUCCAAUUCCCAGUUUCACUACCACAAAUUCGGUAGACCAGAUCAUAAUUCCAGUACCACAAUUUAAUAUCAAUACCGUAUACCUGAAAAAGAAUGGUUUCAUUUUAGUAGAAAAUCAUACCCACCAGUUUCAGUGAAAAAUCAAAAUCCAUUUUGAAAACAAGUGGAGGUAUCUUAGUAAUAAAAAAAAUACCACAUCCAUUUCAGUACAAAAAUGAAAGCCAAUUUCAGCGUCCGAUCCAUCGCAAUUUCAAUACUUAAUUGAAAUCUUAGAACCACUGAUUCAAAAUAAAUAUUAAAUUAAAAUCUUAUAGGGACUUUAUCCGGUUUAGGAGUAGAGUCAAGCCUAUCUGAUUUUAGAGUUUAGGGUUGUAGUGUCCACUUAGACAAACGAAAGCUGAAGAUAAAAGAGCUCACAAUCCUAAUUUGAAUUUGCUGAAACUGUAAUUGAUUUUAGUUUCAAUAUUGAAAAUCAAUGCUUCUAUAAUUCUUUUAAGAUUGACAAUUGAAAAGCCAAUUAUUUAUUUAUUUAUUGUUAUUUUAUGUAGUUGGGGACCUAGUAGACAUGCAUGUUUAAAAAAUCUGAUGACGUGGUUAAAACACCCCUGCAAUAAUCCUUGGAUUAUACUCAAUCUAGGAAUCUAUACACUAUCUAUUUUUUUCAGUUAAUCGUUUGCUUGUGUUUUGAUUACAGGUUUGUAACGUUCUUGAACAUUAAGAACCGAGAAAAUCAUAAUUUAGCCAUCAUAACACAACGCGGAGGUCUACAAACCUAUAGGCAUACUGUGUGCAUAUAUACAGACACAAACACAUCGACUAGAUGGUUAACAAAUUCAUUUGGAGCUCAUGAAUAAAACCUAUAGGUACGUCAUGCCACUUAAUCAGUGGUACAACCUCGUGAAUAAAUCAGAGCUUACCUUCAGAUGAGCGGAUUCCGUUGUCCCAACAAAACCGCCCACUUCGCUGAAGUGUUGCUGUUGGUGAAAGGCAGA
rnacentral:lncRNA from 1 species